CACGUAGGGUGCGAGCGUUGUCCGGAAUUAUUGGGCGUAAAGAGCUCGUAGGCGGUUUGUCACGUCGGAUGUGAAAGCCCGGGGCUUAACCCCGGGUCUGCAUUCGAUACGGGCAGACUAGAGUGUGGUAGGGGAGAUCGGAAUUCCUGGUGUAGCGGUGAAAUGCGCAGAUAUCAGGAGGAACACCGGUGGCGAAGGCGGAUCUCUGGGCCAUUACUGACGCUGAGGAGCGAAAGCGUGGGGAGCGAACAGG
rnacentral:rRNA from 1 species